GGAGAGAUGGCUCAGAGGUUAAGAGCAAUAGCUGCUCUUCCAGAGGACCUGGGUUCAAUUCCCAGCACCUUCA
rnacentral:tRNA from 1 species